UUUUUCUAAGUAGCAAACCGGGGCGACGAGUUGAAAAUCUUGACUUUCACCUCUUUCAUUAUUAGAGAACCACAAAGAAAACUAUAAAUUGAGCCAAAGUUCUUACAACUCCAGGCUGGGGACUGAAGUUUAAAAUCCUAGAAGAGUAAAGAGAACUAUAGCUCUUUUUGGGAUUGAAAAACUGUUCUUUCUCUAUCAAAAUCCCUUACUUAUAUUGGAAUUCAUGCAUGAGACCCACCAUUUCCCACAACAAAGGAUUAGUGAGGUUUAUAUAGUAGUGAAAUCGAAUAAAACCUUGGUUGUUCCACAGAUGUGGGAUAAAGUAGAAUUUGUAAUUCCCUUU
rnacentral:lncRNA from 1 species